rnacentral:pre_miRNA from 1 species
UCUUGUGGAUGAGCAAAGAAGGUGGGUUUCUUAAGACAGAAUCUACUUCUGGUGAAGAUGCUGUGAA